GGGGAUAUAGCUCAGUGGUAGAGCGCGUGCUUGGCGUGCAUGAGGUCCUGAAUUCAAUCCCCAGUGCCUCCG
rnacentral:tRNA from 1 species